GGAUGUACGCGUGAUCUGGCUGUGAAAUCUGUCACGGCGCUGAGCGGCAGGGUUGGUUUGGCUGAUCUCGUUUGGCUAGGUGGGUGUCUCCUUUCUCCCUCACCACUCCAUGCCCCUGCCUCCGGAAGUUGGGUGUGAUGUUGAAGAAGGCAACCUUCCCUGAGCAGAACUCAUCAUCUUCCAUCAAAGGUACGGGGUUAGCUGUGCUCUCUCGUGCUACAGCCUCCAAGCAAGCUAUCAAAAAUGCAAAAGUGUUGUGUGAGUUACCCCCGGGGCAUGGUGAUGGGGAAGGUAGGUUGUAUGGUCAGCAGAUGAUAAAGCUGGCUGCAGAGAUCAGAAUCAGCUCCUAG
rnacentral:snRNA from 1 species